CUCCUCCACCCCACAAAGAAGAAAAUCUGUUGUAAAUUUCUAUCCAUUCUUUCUUUGGAGUUUCUUUCAAAAAGAUAAAGUCCAGGAUGAGGGAGGAGAAGGGUGAUUUCCCUUUGGCAGUGAAGAAAAUAAUGGCUUCAUUGCUUUUAUAGUUGAACCUUAUCUCAUGCUUUUCUGCCUUCAGAAAAGGCAGAAUCUUGUUGUAUAGUCUCACUAGCAGCAAAAAUAGUUACUUUUUAAAAUGUUUCCAACAAACUUCUUAAAGAUCACUAGGAAAUUUUUUUGAAAUAGAAGGGAAAACUUUGAGGAGGAUAAAUGGAGGCAGGGUUAAGUUUGAGAAAGAAGUUUCUUGACUUGUUCAACUUCUCUUUAGGAAGAGAACUCUGGGGAUUUGGAAGAAUUAUCUAAACCAAGUUCUAAGACAAACAGCACUGCUUCAAGGUGCAUGGAAGAAAAAGACUCCAGCUUACUGACUUGGUUGGCAUGGGCCUGAGAAUGGAGCGUGUGUGCGUGUGUGACUGGGACUGCGUGGGUCACCUUGGUAGAUGUCGUGAUGAUGAGGCAGUGAACUGAGCUCUGCCACUUCUGCAGAUGAAUAUAGCAGCAGUGAAGCUGCUGGUGAAAAGACGGAGCAGAAUGACGAUGACAACAUAAAAUCUCAGGAGGUAAGGAAUAUUUUUCAGAUUUUAUUCAGAUUUAUUUAAGUACUAAGAACAAAUAAAAUGCAUUAAAUACUGUUACCUACAGUUUUCUUAAGUAUUUUUGAAGUAGUUAUUUUUUUUAAAUGCAGUGGGGCACCAUUUCAUACAGUGCAUUUUAUCAGUGUCAUUUUGUUUAAUUUUGUUCUCAUCAUCGUUUUAUCCAAACAUUUGUAUGAAACCUACUUCUGUCAUGGCCAUAUAGGAUCAGCCCAGAAUUGUCCCUCCAUGUCCAGGUCAGGUUCCAGAUGUAACAGCUUAGCCUGCCCCAGCCAGGCACCAGUCUAGGUCAGAGACUGGGGCUGCUGAGCCCUGGAGUCUGGACAGGACGGGAUGGGAGCAGCAGCAGCAGGGUGUACAGAACCUGCAGCGAGCGCCACAUGGGACCUGGUUUGAUGAGGCAAAGCCAGGGAUUCCUGGGAGGCUGCAGAAGCAGGCAGACCUCCAGCCCUGCCCGCUCCAGGCCCAUUUGGAUUUGCAGAGAGCCCAGUGGGGCACAGAAUGGCAGUGGCCUGAGACAGAGGCCCAUUAAUCAAGGGAAACAGCCAGUACACCAGCCAGAUCUUCAGAUAACUGUUGCCAAGUUGGCCAGUCUUGAUACAACUUUUUUUUUUUUUAAAGAUUUUAUUUUUUCCUUUUUCUCCCCAAAGCCCCCCGGUACAUAGUUGUGUAUUCUUCGUUGUGGGUUCCUCCAGCCGUGGCAUGUGGGACGCUGCCCCAGCGUGGUCCAAUGAGCAGUGCCAUGUCCGCGCCCAGGACUCGAACCAACGAAACACUGGGCCACCUGCAGCGGAGCGCACGAACCCAACCACUCGGCCACGGGGCCAGCCCCAUUGAUACAACUUUUUAAUAGUUCUUUUUCUUUUCUCAUACUUCUAUAUGAGAAAUUCAGUGACCUGCCUUUUUUUUAUAAGGGAUAAUGUUUCAUCACAAGUGACUUGGACUAAACCCAAAUUUA
rnacentral:lncRNA from 1 species